AACAUUGGACAAUGGGCGAAAGCCUGAUCCAGCCAUCCCGCGUGUAUGAUGAAGGCCUUCGGGCUGUAAAGUACUUUUGGCAGAGAAGAAAAGGUAUCUCCUAAUACGAGAUACUGCUGACGGUAUCUGCAGAAUAAGCACCGGCUAACUACGUGCUAGCAGCCGCGGUAAUACGUAGGGUGCAAGCGUUAAUCGGAAUUACUGGGCGUAAAGCGUGUGUGGGCGGUUCGGAAAGAAAGAUGUGAAAUCCCAGGGCUCAACCUUGGAACUGCAUUUCUAACUGCCGAGCUAGAGUAUGUCAGAGGGGGGUAGAAUUCCACGUGUAGCAGUGAAAUGCGUAGAUAUGUGGAGAAAUACCGAUGGCGAAGGCAGCCCCCUGGGAUAAUACUGACGCUCAGACACGAGAGCGUGGGGAGCAAAC
rnacentral:rRNA from 1 species